AUUAGAUGACUUUUUGGAUCUAAAUCACAAAUAUUGGGAAAGAUAUCUCUCAAAGAAGCAAGGACAGUAGUUACAAGUUAUACUGGCAGUUAUUGAAGAUACUUAAGAUCCAAGAACUUCUUGCUUUUAUGCUAGAAAUCAUUAUGAUAGUGCUGGACACUGAAGCAAAUACCAUACUGCUUAUACUUGGUCUUCCAGUUUUUUGUAAAUUUAAUUUUAUAUUUUUUGAAGAUGAUAGCAAUAUGCUAAAAAAUGCUUGUCCCCUAUAUGAAUAUUCUGUUACGCUUGAAAAAUAUUUUCUCCAGCGUUGGUUACUGACCACCCCACCCUCCCACCACACACACACACACACACACACACACACACACACACACACACACACAAAGUGGAGAAAAAUGUAUACUCAACAAUGUCAUUUUGUGACUUUGGAAACAAGUUAUGUUUUGUGUUUUUGUCUCAUUGUGUUAUUGUCUGACUAAAUCUAAAACCAAACCCAUGUUGAAACUAGUACUUUUCCCUUUAAAAACAAACCAAAAAAAAAAACAAAAAAAAACUUUUUAAUUAAAGAACCUAGUUUGCUAUGCUUAAAAUUACCAAGAAUUUUUUAUUUCUUUGUCAUAGACACAAUUUCUCUUCUGUAUGCCACUAGUUACAUUUCUAAAUUCUGAGCGGUCUCAGUUAGGCCUGUAUGUGUGUACAUGUCCAAGUAAAGCUGGAAAAUGUCAGUCUUGACACAGCUGUGUCUUAGUAUGAGAAACAGAAGACUGAAGAAUAAAAACUAAGGAACAAGAAUGAGUCUCUUUUUGGUGGCUAAGUAGAAUCUUCCUAAAACCAUUGUCAUAAAAGCAGUUAAAGGCAAUAAAUUUUUAAAAGGGACAUAUCACUGAUUCAUUCCUAAAAAGCAUGAACAAAAAGUUUUUGUUCUGUUCCAGCUAUAUCUUGUCUAAGUGCUAACACUGUUUCAGUGAAAAUAUCUAGCCAUAAGAUUAAAAAAAUAUAUUAUUUGCAAUGCUUAAGCCUGCAGAUACGUAAUGUGACCACUGUUUUGUGUUGACAAUAUUGCUUUAUACAGUUCUUGUAUUUGAAAGGAAUUGAUCCUUUUAAAGAAACAUGGUGUAUAUUGUUCUUACAGGACUAAUUUCAGUGGUGUAAAUAAUAAAUAUCUUUUCUUA
rnacentral:lncRNA from 1 species